GAUGAACGCUGGCGGCGUGCCUAAUACAUGCAAGUCGAGCGAACGGACGAGAAGCGUGCUUCUCUGAUGGUAGCGGCGGACGGGUGAGUAACACGUGGAUAACCUACCUAUAAGACUGGGAUGACUUCGGGAAACCGUAUCUAAUACCGGAUAAUAUUUUGAACCGCAGGGUUCAAAAGUGAAAGACGGUCUUGCUGUCACUUAUAGAUGGAGCCGCGCUGCAUUAGCUAGUUGGUAAGGUAACGGCUUACCAAGGCAACGAUGCAUAGCCGACCUGAGAGGGUGAUCAGCCACACUGGAACUGAGACACGGUCCAGACUCCUACGGGAGGCAGCAGUAGGGAAUCUUCCGCAAUGGGCGCAAGCCUGACGGAGCAACGCCGCGUGAGUGAUGAAGGUCUUCGGGUCGUAAAGCUCUGUUAUUGGGAAAGAACAUAUGUGGAAGUAACUGUGCACAUCUUGACGGUACCUAAACAGAAAGCACCGGCUAACUUCGUG
rnacentral:rRNA from 1 species